UUUUCACGUUUUCCCUCUAUAUAUAAGUUGAAACAAAUUAUAAGGAACCAGCUUGCUAGAGAAAUUAACAAAGACGAUCAAGAUCAUAUUAUCACAGCACGCUCAGGCAGUGAUCCUCUGUUUCAAAAUUUCAAUUGCAUUCUCAAUUCUCAAUGGAUUCUCAAGCUCCGGCAACCGGCACCACCCCCAGGAGUGCCGCUGAACCCUCACAAUCUCAACCACCAAAGUCGUCUCCUCCUAUACUUCCAUCUUCCACAUCAUCAACUCCUCCUGUCUCCGCCCCAACACAGUCUUCCCCAAACCCUAAUCCUAGCUCAAGCCCAAACCCAAGCCCAAUUCAAGCCCCGAACCCCAAACCCCCCACUCCUACGCCUGCCCAACCUCGCCCCACGCAGUCCUUCAACCGCACUUUGCCGCCGUCGCAGCCUCAGUUCCCGCACUUCUCUUCCGCUCCUUCGCCUCCCUCCGCUCCUGGCGGCGCCCCUGCGCCGAGGGGUGGUAUGGCAAUCGGCGUGCCCGCGCACCACCAGAGCCCCUCUCCUCCGUUUUCAUCGUCCUUCGGUCAACACUUUGGUGGGUUGGCCCGAACUGGAGUCAGUGUGGCUGAACCUACCUCCAAUUCAAGCACCUCUCAAGUGAGAACGCCCGUGCAAGGAAUGGGGAUGUUAGGGCCUCAAAUGAGGCCUAGUGGAAUCGCUGCUCAUCAACAGAGGCCCGUGCAAUCGUCUCUUAGACCUCCUUCCUCUGCCCCGAAUACUCAACCUGGGGGUUCGCAAAGCUUCCAAGGUCAUGGAAUUAUGAGACCUUCAUCUGUGGGAUCACCAGCUACUCCAUCUCAAGGUGCUUCACAAAGUGUACAGUCACUCAAUCAGCCAUGGUUGUCAUCUGGGCCACUAGGGAAGCCUCCUUUGCCAUCCACUGCUUAUAGGCAGCAAUUGAACCCACCAUCAAUGCAGCAGAGGUCACAUAUUCCUCCGCAGCAGCAAUCCACACCUACAUCUUCACAACAGCAACAACAACAACCACCUUUGUCUAAUCAAUCACAAGAGCAUCAUGGGCAACAGGUUCAGCCAUCCAGGGCUUCUCAUCACGUACCUCACCAGCAACAGGUUUCAAGACUACAGGGGCCAGGAAAUCAGAAACCUUCAUCUCUUGUUGUGGCACAAACCAGUGUAGUUCAGCCAGUGAGUCAAAGUAGAUUGACAAAUGCAGAUACCGAGGAACCCUGUAAUAGUAUUCUCAGCAAAAGAAGUAUCCAUGAGCUGGUCAAUCAGGUGGAUCCAUUGGAGAAGUUGGAUCAUGAAGUUGCAGAUAUUCUUGUGGAUAUCGCAGAAAAUUUUCUGGAGUCUAUAAUCAGGUCUGGUUGUUCAUUGGCCAAGCAUAGGAAAUCAACAACUUUGGAGGCGAAGGACAUACUUCUCCAUCUUGAGAAAAAUUGGAACAUGACACUUCCUGGAUUUGGCGGUGAUGAGAUUAAAAGCUACAGAAGACAGAUUACAAGUGAUAUUCACAAGGAGCGUCUAUCAGCUAUAAAGAAAUCAGUGACAGCAACUGAGGCGGCACAUGCUAAGGGCGCUGGCCAGGCUUCUGGUAGUGCAAAGGGUAAUCAGGCAAAGACACCUAUGAAUAUCAUUGGCUCCCCAAACCUAAAAAGUUCAUAGGAUGCACGCUGUGUUUAUGCUUUACACAGUAAUGGAGGAAGCACUUUGGUGAGGAAGAUCAGGGUUCUUUUCAGGCUCUUCCUGAGCAUUCCACGUGCACCUAGCUUAACCUGAGCAAUGGUCCGAACUCAGAAGCAUUGCAGAAUGCCAGAUAAAGGGAGCAUAAUUGGCUUCAGUGACUACAAUUCUUUUGUACUGAUAACAGUAAGAAAGCCAUUGGUUGGGUCGGCUGGAAUGUUUUUUUAUUCUGAUGAACUUUCUAAUUUAGAUGCAAACAGUAUCCUGAAAUAUAUAUAUAUAUAUAUAUAUAUAUAUAUAUAUGCAAUCACUUUUCCUUUAAGGCAAGUGUUCCUCCACCCGCUGAAAUUCCGUAGCGUUGUGGCUUAACAAUUUUGGUUGAUUCAUUUUUAUUUCCCGCAGCCAUUUUCAAAGCUGUUGAAAUACACGUCUUUCUGCAGUGAUUUUGACAGUGUCUGUGUAUAUAUAAUACACAUUUAUCUACUAAAUUUAUAUAAAGUAUGUUUAUUAUA